ACGAACUAACGUCGGAUGAGGCCACCUAGUGCUUAGUGUAAAAAUCAAUUAGAAAAAAACGCAAUCUUUAUAAAGAAAGGUACCUAUUCAAUUUCUAUACACCAGAACAACUCAGAUCAUCUGACGAUCACCCUAAUUUUAUACACAGCAAAGGUACGGAGUCAUUUGCAGCAUUUUCUGUACAAUAUUUGCAUUAACCUGCUACGCUCGGCGAACUUUCGAAAGCUAUGUUGUGGAAAAAACUAGGACCGAGAAAAGUAACAAAACUACUUCCUAGAAUUUCGCCCCUCCCCGAAAGACGUGCCCAUACUGUUAGCCAACAAUCCUCGCAGCUCCUCAAACAGCUGCUCUCCUUCAAGCUUACAUCACCUUGCACAUAUCAACUUCCGCAAAAACAAUGAAUGAUGUCCGACCCUUCGGUACUGCUUAACUCAAAUUACAAACAGAUGGAAUUAUCAAACCCCUUUCCUAGAGAGAGUGAGAGACCGUACCACGGAUCAUGGACCCGCGGGACGCGGAGCGGAAGCAGCCACUGUGGGACGUAAUAAUUCGUAUUAAAUUGCAUGAGAAUGAAAACAAACCGCCCAACCUUUCCCCGUCCGUGUCUGCGGCCUUUGCUGCCACUGCUACUACUCGUUUGCAGCAUGUUUCCAUACAUACCUACAUUACAAUGUUGCGCAUACGUUCAUGUCGUCGUAGGGCUGGCCACCACACGGCACAGGAGUAUCAGCUUCAUUCCCUGAUAAUGCCAUGCGAGUCAAGGUGAAAAUUGUGGAUAUCGUCCCUAUGCUCUGCUCAUU